CGGGACACGUGGUAUCCUGUCUGAAUAUGGGGGGACCAUCCUCCAAGGCUAAAUACUCCUGACUGACCGAUAGUGAACCAGUACCGUGAGGGAAAGGCGAAAAGAACCCCGGCGAGGGGAGUGAAAAAGAACCUGAAACCGUGUACGUACAAGCAGUGGGAGCACGCUUAGGCGUGUGACUGCGUACCUUUUGUAUAAUGGGUCAGCGACUUAUAUUCUGUAGCAAGGUUAACCGAAUAGGGGAGCCGAAGGGAAACCGAGUCUUAACUGGGCGUUAAGUUGCAGGGUAUAGACCCGAAACCCGGUGAUCUAGCCAUGGGCAGGUUGAAGGUUGGGUAACACUAACUGGAGGACCGAACCGACUAAUGUUGAAAAAUUAGCGGAUGACUUGUGGCUGGGGGUGAAAGGCCAAUCAAACCGGGAGAUAGCUGGUUCUCCCCGAAAGCUAUUUAGGUAGCGCCUCGUGAAUUCAUCUCCGGGGGUAGAGCACUGUUUCGGCAAGGGGGUCAUCCCGACUUACCAACCCGAUGCAAACUGCGAAUACCGGAGAAUGUUAUCACGGGAGACACACGGCGGGUGCUAACGUCCGUCGUGAAGAGGGAAACAACCCAGACCGCCAGCUAAGGUCCCAAAGUCAUGGUUAAGUGGGAAACGAUGUGGGAAGGCCCAGACAGCCAGGAUGUUGGCUUAGAAGCAGCCAUCAUUUAAAGAAAGCGUAAUAGCUCACUGGUCGAGUCGGCCUGCGCGGAAGAUGUAACGGGGCUAAACCAUGCACCGAAGCUGCGGCAGCGACGCUGAUGCGUUGUUGGGUAGGGGAGCGUUCUGUAAGCCUGUGAAGGUGUGCUGUGAGGCAUGCUGGAGGUAUCAGAAGUGCGAAUGCUGACAUAAGUAACGAUAAAGCGGGUGAAAAGCCCGCUCGCCGGAAGACCAAGGGUUCCUGUCCAACGUUAAUCGGGGCAGGGUGAGUCGACCCCUAAGGCGAGGCCGAAAGGCGUAGUCGAUGGGAAACAGGUUAAUAUUCCUGUACUUGGUGUUACUGCGAAGGGGGGACGGAGAAGGCUAUGUUGGCCGGGCGACGGUUGUCCCGGUUUAAGCGUGUAGGCUGGUUUUCCAGGCAAAUCCGGAAAAUCAAGGCUGAGGCGUGAUGACGAGGCAC
rnacentral:rRNA from 1 species